UUUCUCUGGGGCAAAUGCCUCAACGCGUCGAAACACUUGCGGUGAUCAUGAUGCCUCGCAUCAUGAAACAGAGGCAUCAACGUGCUGAUCGAUGGCCAUUUCAGUUCAGUGGGAAUGUAACACAGCCAAGCGGCAAAGGCAGCGGAGACUCCGUAUAUGAUGAAGAUGAACCACAAAAUACUUAAAAGCCUUUUGAAUGUCUUCUUUCUGUUCAUGUGUUGAAGAAAUUAUGAAUACGUUUUUCCACUGACACGUUCACGUUUCAUUGGAAACAUCUAAUUGGGUGGUCUAUGUUUCUUUAAUCGCUAACGGUCUACAUAGCAGUCAUAUUCAAAUUAAUCCCAUCUAGUCCAUUUUGGGUGAGAAUGUCGAAAGUGUCGUCAGACAGAAAUUACUCUAUACAAGACACUGAUAUUACCCAAGUUUCUAUACAGAUCUCGG
rnacentral:sRNA from 1 species